GUUUUCCCUUUGGCUGCACCUAUACUAAAAUUGGGAGUGAUACAGAGAAGAUGAGCAAGGCCAUUGCACAAGGAUGACACCCAAAGUCAGGAAGCAUUCCACAUUUUU